rnacentral:rRNA from 1 species
AUGCGACCCGGGGAUGAAGCAAAAACGGCCUUCCAAACACAUCAUGGGCAUUUCGAAUUCAAGGUGAUGCCGUACGGAGUGACGGGUGGCCCUUUCACUUUUCAGAAAGGGAUGCAUAUUGUGUUGGGUCCCCUGGCCCGCAAGGGAGUGCUGGUUUUUAUCGACGAUAUUCUCGUCCACAGUAAGACCAUGAAGGAGCACGUUCGGUUGUUGCGAUCCGUGUUUCAGUCGUUGAGGGAGCACGCGUUUAAACUGAAGCUGAAGAAGUGCUCUUUUGGACAAACUCAGCUGCGUUACCUAGGCCAUGUGAUCAGUGCUGAAGGUGUCCAUACGGAUCCCAAGAAUAUCGAGAAAGUGCAAGCAUGGCAGCCACCAGCUUCAGUCAAGGAGCCGCGGCAAUUCUUGGGGUUAGCAGGCUACUACCGGCGUUUCAUCAAGCAUUACGGGGUCAUCAGCCGUUCUCUCACUGAAUUGUUGAAGAAAGGGGUCCCAUUUGUCUGGACAAGUGUGCACGACCAAGCAUUCACCACUCUCAAGACAACACUGACUACAGCUACGGUACUCGCUCUUCCAGAUUUUCCUAGCCCUUCGUGA